GGAUGAACGCUGGCGGCGUGCCUAAUACAUGCAAGUCGAGCGAACGGACGAGAAGCUUGCUUCUCUGAUGUUAGCGGCGGACGGGUGAGUAACACGUGGAUAACCUACCUAUAAGACUGGGAUAACUUCGGGAAACCGUAGCUAAUACCGGAUAAUAUUUUGAACCGCAUGGUUCAAAAGUGAAAGACGGUCUUGCUGUCACUUAUAGAUGGAUCCGCGCUGCAUUAGCUAGUUGGUAAGGUAACGGCUUACCAGGGCAACGAUGCAUAGCCGACCUGAGAGGGUGAUCGGCCACACUGGAACUGAGACACGGUCCAGACUCCUACGGGAGGCAGCAGUAGGGAAUCUUCCGCAAAGGGCGAAAGCCUGACGGAGCAACGCCGCGUGAGUGAUGAAGGUCUUCGGAUCGUAAAACUCUGUUAUUAGGGAAGAACAUAUGUGUAAGUAACUGUGCACAUCUUGACGGUACCUAAUCAGAAAGCCACGGCUAACUACGUG
rnacentral:rRNA from 1 species